CGAAACUUGCCCCGAGAUGAGUUCUCCCUGACCCUUUAAGGGUCCUGAAGGAACGUUGAAGACGACGACGUUGAUAGGCCGGGUGUGUAAGCGCAGCGAUGCGUUGAGCUAACCGGUACUAAUGAACCGUGAGGCUUAACCUUACAACGCCGAAG
rnacentral:rRNA from 1 species